rnacentral:lncRNA from 10 species
GGGCGACGGCGGCUGAGGCCUUUCGCAAUCGUUCUUAGAUCUCUGCAGAGCUGUCGCCACGGCCUGAGGGGCGACGUGGGGACUGCCGCUCACGGAAUCCGGGAGUCGCUAGGAGAGCGGCGCAGGGAAAAGCGAGCUUGGUGCAGCUCUUCUUGAGUAGUCGAGCUACAAGGCGCCUGAAGACCUUCUGGGCCAACUCUUCUUUACCAGUUUACAGAGAGGGAAACUGAGGCGGGGGCGGUGCUCGGGCAGGAUUAGCCCGCAUCCGUCGGCGAGGCUUGCACUGGUGGGGAUUCGUGCGCAGGUUUCCUGCCUCCGGGCUUGGGCUGUCCGCGCCUCGCCACCCACCCCAGGCUCCCGUCGCUCCUCGCCGGCUGGCGCCCAGCUGGGGGGUGCACCGGGAGAGGUGGCGCGGCUCACUUCGGCGCAGUCCCCGGCCCCAGCCUCCACGGUGACCGGCUACCCUGUGACAUCAGGCGCCCAGCACAGGGCCUGGACGCGGGUGCAGGAGAGGGAGUCAGGGAACGGGGAGGAGCAGGGGUCCCCACUGUGUGCCUGGUGCGACAAAAGGCGAGCUGCAGAGAGGUCGGGAGGAGCCGGCAAACACAAGGAUGCCCACCAGGCGCGGAGGGCCUGGGCUGGAGGAGCAUUUAGGAUGCAGAAUCGCGGGAACCUGGCAUGGAGAGAGAGGCCAAGGACUUUUGGCUUGGGCCAGGGCUGUUUGGAGAUGCUUUCAACAAGUGGAAGAAGAUUGGGCACAGAAAAUGUAGACUGAAUGGAACACUGAGGCAGGAGCAGGUACUCCUCCCCCUCCCUCAGCAGCAGCCAUCUCCCCCAAGAGGGGCCAGGAUGGGAGGCCAGGAGUACAGUGGCUCAGUGGGGGAGCUGAAGUCCUGGGGAACCAGCCAAGCCCCACACACCCUAGAAAUCCAGGAGGCCCAGCUAGGUGAUUCUGCCCGCAGCCGCAGGGUUCCCAUGCCAGUCCACUGGGAUCUUGUGCCAUGUAAUUGAGGGGGCGCCAGAUCUAAGGAUCAGUGAACUAAUGUGUGCCAUGACCCAGUGUGAGUUGAGAUCAAUAAAUGUCUUUGCUUUGCUAUUAUUA